CACCUGAGGUGUGUGGAAAUUCCCAGCCAGAGAUGGAAUCUGGGGUCUCCACAGAGACAAGCGGAGCAUUAACUCAUUGCACCACAGCAGGAAGUCCUACAUUGGAUUUUUGCAAUUUGAUCUUGUAUCUUGCAACCUUGCUCAGCUUAUUUAUUAGUCCCGAUAGUUUUUGUGGAUUCCUCGGGAUGUUCUAUACGCAGGUUCCUGUCAUCUGCAAAUAGAGAUAGAUUUAUUUCUUCCUUUCCAAACUGGAUGCUUUUUUUUUUUUUUUUUCCCUUGCUUAAUUGCCCUGGCUGGAGCCCCCAGACAAUGUUGAAGAGGCAGGAGUAGACAGGCUGGGCAUUCCCACAGUGCCGUGGCAGGUUAAGGAGCCAGCACUGUCUCUGCAGCGGUGUAGGUUUGGUCCCUGGUUCAGGGCAGUGGGUUAAAGGAUCAGGCAUUGCCGUAGCUCCAGCUCGGCUUCAAUCCCUGUGGGUGUGGCAAAAAAAAAAAAAAAAAAAAAAAAAAAAAAAAAAAAAAAAAAACAAGAAAGAAGAGACUAGAUACCCUUGUCUUAUUCUUGGUCUCGGGGGGAAUCUUUCAAUCUUUCCCAUUAAUAAUUAAACAUUAUGUAACUAACGGUGGAGUUUUGGUAGAUCCUUCUCAUCAGGUUGAGAAAAUUCCUUUCUGUUGAGAAAACUCCUUUCUAUUCCUGGUUUGUUGAGGGUGACGGAAUAGCUCGACCUAAAGUGGAGAGGUGUUCAGAGACAGGACAAUAUUUUCACUAAAUUGGGCAUCCGUAUGAAAAACAAAAACCAAAAACCCUCCAUCUCAACCUUACACCUCAUACUAAAGUUAACUCAAAAUGGAUCAUAUACCUAAAUGUAAAAAUAUAAACUUUCAGAAUGCAACAUAAAAGAAACCCUUCAUGACCUUGUGCCAGUCCAAAAAAAAAAAGACAGUAAAACACACUCUAAAGAUAAAUUGAUAAAAUGGACUUAAAAGUCAAAAACUUCUUCUCUGUAAAUGUAAAGUUUCAAGGAACAGUUAAUUCCUCCCUUAACAAGUUAUUGCAGAAAAUAAUUUCUGCAAAGUCUGUGGUGAGGCCACUGCAAUCUUGAUUCCAAAACAUAAUAAGGAAAAUACAAAGAAAAAGAAGGAGGAAAUUGUAGACCUGUCUCACUUCAAUCAUAGAUAUAAGCAGAUAAAGUUUAUAUAAAAAUUCAGCUAACCCCAACUGCAUAUUAAAAAGUUUGAGCAUUAUGACCAAAUUGGGCUUCUCACAGGAAUGCAAGGAUGGCUAAAGCUGAGAAAGGAGGCUGAUGUGUUCGUAUAACGAAACCAAUUGCAGUAAAGCAAGAGAGAAAAGUCACAUGAUUGUCUUGCUCAAUGAGGACAGAGCACUUGAUCGUGACUGUUCUAAAAAUUCUACCAAAGAUAUCAAUUUGGAGAUCAAGAAGCAUGAUCACCAAUGCGGGCUUGUAAGCAUUAAAAAGAUGGCCAAAAUUAAGCUACAGUCAUCACAGUACCUUUUUAAAUUUUUUUAGGCCCACACCCAUGGCAUAUGCAGGUUCCCAGGCUAGGGGUCAAACUGGAGCUGUGGCCGCUGGCCGACACCAUAGCCACAGCCAUGCCACAUCCGAGCCACGUCUGCAACCUACACCCCAACUCAUGGCAACAUCAGAUCUUGAACCCACUGAGUGAGGCCAGGGAUCGAACCUGCAUCCUCAUGGAUACUCGUCAGAUUUGUUUCCACCGAGCCAAGACGGGAACUCCCACAGUACCUUUUAAUACCAGCAACAACGGGCACUAAGUCUCUUCACACGGAACCCUUACUGGCUCUGCUCCUCUGCUUGAACCCUGAUGAACACAGGGUGAUAAAAGCAGUAUCAUAUUGGAGUUCCCUCUGUGGUGCAGGGGGAUGAGAACCUGGCGGCACCGGCUCGGGUUGUUGCAGAUGUACAGGUUCAAUCCCUAGCCCGGUGCAGUGGACUAAAGGAUCCAGUGUUGCCACAGCUUGGCUCAGAUUCAAUCCCUGGCUCGGGAACUUGCACGUGCUGCAGGUACGGCCAUAAUUUUCUUUUUUUUUUUUCCUUUUUGGCCGUUCGGCAGCAUGUCGAAUUCCCAAGCCAGGGAUUAUAUCUGAGCCACAGCUGCAACCUAAGCCACAGCUGCGGCAACACCGGAUCUUCAAAUCUAUGUUCCAGGCUGGGGAUCGAACCUGCAUCCCAGCACUCUGAAAAUGCUGCCAAGAUGCACCGCAGCGGGAACACCCAUCAUUGCUUUUAAUUAAAAAAAAAAAGGCAGUGUGAUAUCGGUCCUUGACCUGACCAGUGCACAGACAGGACUGAGCACGGAGAGAGUGUCCCCACAGAUGAACAAGGAAAGGAUGUUUGUGCACAGACAGGGUUGGACACGGACUCACUGAUGGAAGAGCCGGAUCCCCGCCUGGCAGCGCACGCAGAGGCGGACUCUGGAUCCCACGAAGACCCGAACGCUGAAGAAAAACCUGGCAGGAGGACAUGCAGGAGACUAGGAGAGAGGACAGGGGAGCAUGUCUCCAAAUUUAACUGCAAAAAGCAAGAGGCAAAACAUGAUGGAGUCAAUUAACUCAGAAUUUAAAUUCGCUGUUCCCCAAAGGGAAACCGUGAGCAAAAUGUCGGCCAGAUGACAGGACGGAGAAGACAUUUCUGAUGCGUAAAACCCUCGCGGGAUCCAUACCUCGGACGUGCGAGGAACUCUGGCCGAGCGGUUCCUGAUGGUCAGCAGCCCCCAAAGACCAGUGUUUGACGGGUAUGCCCAGCCAGUUACGGAAGAGGAGCCAACCAAGAAGAGCAUGCAAAGAUGCUCAAAUUCAGAGACUAAAGAAAUGCCACGUCAGCUGGGAGACCACUUCGUGCCUCUUCAACUGACACACCUGCCGAGGGCCACGCGGACCGAGAAGGCGGGCCCGGCGGGACGUGGGCUGGGCUUCCGGACUAAGCACAGGGCUCGCGGGUCUGCUCCAGGUGAACAAAGCCUUGCCCCGCAAGCCCACCCAAGGGCGGGGUCAUCUGUGACGGCAGAGAGGCGGGGGCAGCCUGGGGGUCCAUCUGGGGAAAUGGGCAGGAAAAUGUGGCGGAUUUGGGGUAUCUUCCCCUGGGUGGGAACGAUGAGCUGCACACAUGGCUCCGAGGACAGAGCUUUAAAACACAACCCAGACUGGGGACCAACCACGGACACUCGCCUUGAUUAGGCCCGUGCUUCCCAGACUGUGCGUUGAGACACGCAGCGGGCCAGAGAGGACUCUCAGGGGCACUAUAGGGUAUUUGAAAUGUUUGAGGGAAACAGAACAUGCCAGAGACCUUGUGAGCAACUCAACCGAGCUUAGAGUUUCAGUACUGGACCCCACGGCUCUCCUUUCUGGGUCAGGACUUUCAAAGCUGGAUUCAUAUGUGGAUCAGGCAGCUCAGGUGGAAGGGUCCAAUCUGAUUCAGGUUUGAAAAGGUUCUAGAGGCGUUCCCAUUGUGGAGCAGCAUAAAGGAAUCCAACUAGGAACCACAAGGUUGCAGGUUCGAUCCCUGGCCUCGCUCAGUGGGUUAAGGAUCUGAUGUUGCCACAGCUGUGGUGCAGGUCGCAGAGCGACUCAGAUUCAAUCCCUGGCCCAGAAGCUCUCGUAUGCCAUGGGUCCAGCAAAAAAAAAAAAAAAAAAAAAAAAA
rnacentral:lncRNA from 1 species